CCUUGACAUGCAGAGAACUUUCCAGAGAUGGAUUGGUGCCUUCNGAAACUCUGACACAGGUGCUNCAUGNCCNUCGUCAGCUCGUGUCGUGAGAUGUUGGGUUAAGUCCCGUAACGAGCGCAACCCCUAUCCCUAGUUNCUAGCAGUUCGGCUGAGAACUCUAGGGAGACUGCCGGUGACAAACCGGAGGAAGGUGGGGAUGACGUCAGGUCAUCAUGGCCCUUACGNCCAGGGCUACACACGUGUUACAAUGGUNCGCACAGAGGGCUGCAAACCCGCGAGGGGGAGCCAAUCUCACAAAACGCAUCGUAGUCCGGAUCGCAGUCUGCAACUCGACUGCGUGAAGUCGGAAUCGCUAGUAAUCGUGAAUCAGAGUGUCACGGUGAAUACGUUCCCGGGCCUUGUACACACCGCCCGUCACACCAUGGGANGUGGAUUGCNCCAGAAGUGGUUAGUCUAACCUUCGGNAGGACGAUCACCAACGGUGUGUGUUCAUGACUGGGGUGAAGUCG
rnacentral:rRNA from 1 species